rnacentral:lncRNA from 1 species
UUCUGCUUUCCCCUAACCAGGCUCCUGGGCUCAGCGCUCUGCAAUCCAAUCUCACUGUGGACUCCUGUCUCAUCUCUGUGUCUCUGAGGCACCUGUCUGGUGUGAUAAUAGAAUGAGUGGAGUACGGGUCCUCUUAACGACUGACUUGUUCCAGAACCUCAGAACUGAAGUCUGCCAAAAGCUAUGAUGCCAGGCAGACAUCGGCAAUACUCUCUUCCCGUCCCUCGUAAUGAAUAAGAAGCCUUCUGCAGUCUGUGGCGCUGAGGCACAGGCCUGGUUUCUGCCUUCCAUCCGAUCCAAAGCAAUUCCAGAUUCUUCCAGGAUGUUUUUUAGGCACAGGCAUCGGAACUGCAGGCAUGCCCGUAUCUCUUCAACCAUGCCUGUGCUUCCAGCCACAGUUGUGGCAUUGCACUUUCAUGCCAUUCCUGCUUCACCGAAAUGCUGCUCUCAUUUCACUCUUCACCGUUGGAGUCCAUGUCUAUUAAUGGUGUAUGUCUGCAGCGGAGUGAGUGCUACAAAAGAUGGACUCUACCUAUAAUCAUGGCCCAAACUGGAAUACCUUUUAUUACUAUCCUCUAGCUCCUGAAAGGAAACCCCAGGCCGUGAAAUUCAAGCUGCAGCUGAGUAAGGGUGCUUCUCAGCCAUUCGGUAUUCCUCAGGUGAUAGCCCAAAAAACUUAGAAUACCCAAGAUACAAGAUACAAUUUGCAAAACACAUGAAACUCAAGAAGAACGAAGACCAAAGUGUGGACACUUUGCCCCUUCUCAGAACUGGGAACAAAACACCCAUGGAAGGAGUUACAGAGACAAAGUUUGGAGCUGAGACGAAAGGUGGACCAUCUAGAGACUGCCUUAUCCAGGGAUCCACCCCAUAAUCAGCUUCCAAACGCUGACACCAUUGCACACACCAGCAAGAUUUUAUCGAAAGGACCCAGAUAUAGCUGACGAAAUCCAGGCCCAUCCAUGUUCCUGAAAAUGUGAAGACUCCAUUCUUUUUAUGGCAGAAUACAAUUCCCAUAUGUGUAUAUACCAUAUUCUUAAAAUCCACUCUUCUGUCAAGGGAACUUUAGGUUGAUUCUAUAUCUUAGCUAUUGUAAAUAGUAUAGCAAUAAAUAUGGCUGAGCAAGUAUCUCUAUGUUAGGAUAUGGAGUCCUUUGGGUACAUGACCAGGAUUUGUAUAACUAGUUGUGUGUGUGUGUGUGUGUGUGUGUGUGUGUGUGUGUGUGUGUGUGUGUGUGUAUUUGUAUAACUAGUUGUGUGUGUGUGUGUGUGUGUGUACCCUUCAAACUGAGCUUCAUUGUGAAUACACUACUUUGCAUUGCCACCAGCAGUGUAUAAAGGUUCCUUUCACUUCUGUAUUCACACCAGCAUCUGUUGUUGUAUCUAAUAGGACUUUAGAAACAUUCUUUUUUUUUUUUUUUUCCUCAUUGGACCAUGUCUGGCUGAAGUGAGUUAGCCACCUACAGGCUUUCAAAGCAGAACUUCCCGAUUCAUCCUGCCAAAAGGAUAUACUCAUUCGAGAGAUGGCUUCCUGUUGGUACACAGAAGGAACACUGAAGUAAGCCUGGGACAGGAUAAAGCCAAUGUGUCAGAGACAGGAAAUCUUACUUCUGAGUAUUCAGGGAGAAAGGAGCAUUGCUCAAUGCACUAGGAAUUCUACAAAAAUGGUUACCCCCCCCCUGAGAUUACACAGCCUAGGAACCAUGCUGGCCCUCAAUCAGUGCAAUUUUGAAACUGCACCGCUGCACCACUAAACAAUUACACUUUCCUUUUAAGGCUGUUAACCUUUCUGUCUGGUAGUUUUAAACACAGUUAUCUACACUGUAUAUUUGCCUAAAAGCAGUCUUUAUGGCACCAUCACAAGCUGGGUCAUUCCAUACUCAUUUAAAUUAAGGGAACCCAGAGAAAGGAGGCGACAUUCACAUAUGAUGUCCUGUAAGUGUGGUUAUUUGGACUCCAGAGCACUUGUCUCUGUAUAUCUGUAACUUUGAUUCUGCAUCUGAUUAUAAAGUGGAUAGUUUUAUUUAAAAAGCAUGGUCCGGCUCUCCCAUUUAACUCGAAAAAGAGACACACUAAAGGAGUUAAUUCCAAAGUGGAUAAAUUGAUAUUUUGGCCAGUAAGAUGAGGGCAUGAGGGGAAAGCUGCACUCACGUCAGCUCUGUGCCCCACUGUGCUCUGCCGACCAGGUGCAAAGAGAAAUAUGAGGAUCUGAGGGUGCUUUGGUUUUUAUUGCCAAAGGCAGCCGUGAUGAACAUUCCAGACCCUGGGGCAGAAGUUAGACAGAGCUGCCAGAAGGAACAAUGAAAGGGAUCCUAAUAGUUUAGUUUGUACAUAAAACCGAGCCAAGGAGAACUGAGUAAGCACAGACGGUAUUACUGUAAUACAUCUGAUAUGUUUACAUCGACGUUUUACUCU